rnacentral:rRNA from 1 species
UCAGCUUGUUGGUGAGGUAACGGCUCACCAAGGCGACGACGGGUAGCCGGCCUGAGAGGGCGACCGGCCACACUGGGACUGAGACACGGCCCAGACUCCUACGGGAGGCAGCAGUGGGGAAUAUUGCACAAUGGGCGAAAGCCUGAUGCAGCGACGCCGCGUGAGGGAUGACGGCCUUCGGGUUGUAAACCUCUUUCAGCAGGGAAGAAGCGAAAGUGACGGUACCUGCAGAAGAAGCGCCGGCUAACUACGUGCCAGCAGCCGCGGUAAUACGUAGGGCGCAAGCGUUGUCCGGAAUUAUUGGGCGUAAAGAGCUCGUAGGCGGCUUGUCACGUCGGUUGUGAAAGCCCGGGGCUUAACCCCGGGUCUGCAGUCGAUACGGGCAGGCUAGAGUUCGGUAGGGGAGAUCGGAAUUCCUGGUGUAGCGGUGAAAUGCGCAGAUAUCAGGAGGAACACCGGUGGCGAAGGCGGAUCUCUGGGCCGAUACUGACGCUGAGGAGCGAAAGCGUGGGGAGCGAACAGGAUUAGAUACCCUGGUAGUCCACGCCGUAAACGGUGGGCACUAGGUGUGGGCAACAUUCCACGUU